UACGUAGGGUGCAAGCGUUGUCCGGAAUUAUUGGGCGUAAAGAGCUCGUAGGCGGUUUGUCGCGUCUGCUGUGAAAACUGGAGGCUCAACCUCCAGCCUGCAGUGGGUACGGGCAGACUAGAGUGCGGUAGGGGAGAUUGGAAUUCCUGGUGUAGCGGUGGAAUGCGCAGAUAUCAGGAGGAACACCGAUGGCGAAGGCAGAUCUCUGGGCCGUUACUGACGCUGAGGAGCGAAAGCGUGGGGGAGCGAACAGG
rnacentral:rRNA from 1 species